AGGCACAAGGUAAUACAAUGAUCAAUGGCACUGAAUAUAAUGGUUAAGUCGUUGUUGCAAAUUGAUCAUAUAUAUAUUUCGACAAAAUUAAUAACCUACAAAAUAUACAUUUCACCGCAUUACUCUAAUAAACAUUUCGCAUGCGACUCCCACAAAGAAGACCCGACCUAAGCCUCAAGACUUGAAGGCUUUUGAGUUGUCCAAGAAGUUGUGGGGAGGUGGUCAAGAUUCCAAGAAGGCUCAGCUGCCGGCGUCCCCCUGAGAUUUCAAAGGAGCUAGCCGUGUGGAUCAGAUAGCUGGGAUUUCAAAGAGCAGGGCUAGCUUGUCCGAGACUUUUAUGACCAAGGAGGGCCUGGAGUUGAUUGCUGCAUCAAAGCGAGCUGAGCUGGAGAAGAAAUGGAACAAGCUGCAUGUUGCUGAAUUGGAGCAUUCUGAGCUUAUGAGAGAGAGGGCUGAGCUUACAAAAUUUCAGGCCAAGUUGAUCUUGGAGGGCCUUAAUAAGUCAACAUUCCAUUAGAAUCGUGGUCAGGUAUUGCCCUGGAUCUAGAAAGCCCUCAUCAAGUCAAGGCGAUCAUUAUCUUUUGAGUUUUGUUGGGUUUAAAUGAUCAUUAUGUUUUGGGAUUUGUAAGGUUGAAGAAGUAACAAUUGAUUAUGCCAUGUAUGCAAAUUCACUAUUCAAAAAUUGUUUGUUUCAUUUGGUUUUCUUGGUGCUGUUCUAGCGCAAAAGAACCAAUACGAUACACACAUGCUAUUGCAGAUACCAAUCAUUUCAUUGAGGUUAAUGAUGGGUCCUGUCUCUCAAAUAUGCAAUGUGUAUUGGGUUCAGAUGCUGAAGGUUAUGAACUUAUGAUCAGGUAGAAUCUGGCUCAAUCACAACUGGUGCUUUGAUAUGGUGCAAGGCGUUGCAGCUACUAGCCAAGGGUCAAAGCAAAAAGUGGAAUUGUGGUCAAGAAACUUGUUGUGGUUAGUAUUUUUCCUCCUCUGUGUGUCUGGCUUGGUAGCUAUCUGGAUGGAGCUUGAACAGUUUAUCAUCACUCCAAUCCUGUUUGCCCUUUCUCACUGCUUUUCAGUUGAAAGUUGAAACAACAUCGCAUUGCUUAGGAUCAUGCAACCACUUAAGAUGGACUUUUUCCCUACAUUUAUAUGACAGAUUUGCUAUAGUUUACAGUUCA